rnacentral:tRNA from 1 species
AUGGCUCAAGUGGUUAAGAGCACUGGCAGCUCUUCCAGAGGACCUGGGUUCAAUUCCCAGU